UUGAGGCAGCACACACACACACACAGCAGCCAUGGAAGGAAUGAACAUCCCCAAGAUGAUCGGAGGGAAAGUGGAGGAGGUGGUGGAGGACACCAUGAACAAGGUCAUGGGGAAAGGAGACAAGGGAGCGGAGGAAGGGAAGGAAGAAGGACCGAAGAACGACGACAAGAAGGAGGAAGGAGGGCUGGAUAUCGGGAACCUCGCCGGGAAGGCCUUAGGCGGCUUGUUCUAAUAGAGAGCCUGCAGAGCAGAUCCUGAACCAGACCCGGUCCAUCUGACCCGGUCCACCUGACCCGGAACCAGACCGCCUGCUGGAGAACCAACGCUCAUUAUUUGUAGAUGACAUCAUGAAAAUGAAAUAAAGCUCUUGAACUGAA